GGGGGUGUGGCUCAGUGGUAGAGCACUUGACUAUCAUCCAUAAGGCCCUGGGUUCAGUCCAACCCACCUCCA
rnacentral:tRNA from 1 species